CACGUAGGGGGCAAGCGUUGUCCGGAUUCAUUGGGCGUAAAGAGCUCGUAGGCGGUUCGAUAAGUCGGGUGUGAAACCUCCAGGCUCAACCUGGAGACGCCACCCGAUACUGUCGUGACUAGAGUCCAGUAGGGGAGCGUGGAAUUCCUGGUGUAGCGGUGAAAUGCGCAGAUAUCAGGAGGAACACCGGUGGCGAAGGCGGCAUCCUGGACCAACACUGACGCUGAGUGAGCGAAAGCCAGGGGAGCAAACGGG
rnacentral:rRNA from 1 species